AGACACUUCACCGCGGUCCGUUCCUUCCGUCCGUUCAUCCGUUCUUCUUUCCUUCCUUCCCGUUCAUACGUCCUUCAUCCCUUCCUGCGGUCCGUGCCUUCCUUCUGUCGCCCCUUCCUUCCUUCACUCCUUUCUGGUUCCUGUUAUUUCCUUUUAAUCCCUUUCGGCAAUCCGUUUUUAUUUCCUGUUGUCACUCUGUUAUUUCUUUUCCCAUUAAUUUCCUUCCUUCAUAUACUACGUCAUUCUUUUCUUCCUGCUUUUUCGUUUAUUUUGUUCUUUUGUUCCGUCAUUCCUUUCUGCUUUCCAUUAUCUCCUUUCAAUUCCUUUCGGCAAUCCGUUAUUAUUUCCUGUUGUCACUCUGUUAUUUCUUUUCCCAUUAAUUUCCCUCCUUCAUGCACUACAUCAUUCUUUUCUUCCUGCUUUUCCGUUUAUUUUGCUCUUCUGUUUUCACUAUAAUUUUCUUCCUUCCUUUCGUCAUUCAUUAAUUCCUGGUUUCCUUAAGUCCUUCCGUCAUGUAUUCUCCAUCGGGGUCGUCUCUUCCCUCGUCCUCGUCUGCACACUGGUAAUCCUUCCUCAGGUUGUGGUUGAUUGAACGGUGCUGGUGGUGUAAGGGUGGUUCUGGUUAACUCUUCACACCGAAUUGUAGGCGGGAAUGAGAGGUGGUGGAGGAGGAGGAGAAGGAGGAGGAGGAGAAGAUGGUUUAGGUUAGGAGACGAGAGGAGAAGACGCCCUAUACUUCAUUCUGGGGUAGCUGUUGGUGGGAUGAGUAGGUGAAGGAGGAGAAGAAGGAGGAGGCUGAGGAAGGAGGGGGAAGGUGUUGUUUGUAGAUAUAAUAUACUGUAUGAUGUCCAAUGUUCCUGCCUCUCUCUCCGCUCUGUUUGAGUCUUCGUGGGAAAGAUACAGAGUGGAUGGGAGCGGUUUUCUUCACUUCCUCACUCUUCUUUCCUUUAUAUAAUUUCCUCCCUUCCUUCGUUGUUCCUUUUUCUUCUCUUCUUGUAUCUCCUUUUCUUCCUUCCUGUAUUUCCUCUUCCCUUCCUCUCUCAUUUUUCCUUUAUAUAACUCCUUCCUUCCUUCCUUGUUCCUUUUUCCUCUCUUCUUGUAUUCCCUUUUCUUCCUUCUCGUAAAUAGUCUUUCCUUCCUCUUUAUGUAUUUCCCUCCUUUGUUUCUUGUUCCUUUUCCUUCUCUUUCUAUAUCUUCGUCUUCCUUCCCUUUCCUCUAUCUUCCUGUCUUCAUUCUCAUUUUCUUGUUCCUCUUUCUUUCCUUCUCCUGUAUCUUCCUUUCUUCUUUCCUUUUCAUUCUUCUCCUUUCCUGUAUCUCUUUCUUGUCUCCUCCUUCCUCAUUCCCUUUCUUUCUUUCUCUAUCUCCUUCUCUUUCUUCCUUCUUCACUUUCCUUCCUCCUCCUCCUCUCUCUUUCCUCCUGCGUAGUUUCUUCCCGUCCUCAUUUUCAAGAUGUAUGGUAAUUACGUCUAAUUUCUCUCCCCUUAUAUUUUCAGGUUAGACUCUCCCUUCUUCCUCCUUUCCUUUUUUCUUCCUUCCUUUCUUCUUUCUCUUUCUCUCCGCCUUUGUUGUUGCUUCUUGUCCUCAUUCACACGAAGACAAACGUUUUCAUUUUUCCUCUUUCUUUAAAUGUUCGCUCGGCUUUCCUUCCUUCCUUCCUUCCUUGCUUUCGUCUUUUCUUUCUUUCUUUUUCUUUCUUUCUUCUGCGCCUUCGUUUCGUGGUUGCUCCUCGUCCUCAUUCUCAUAGACAUUUUUUCUUGAUUAUUUUAUUCUUUUGCUUUCACUCUUCUUUCUAAUUUCCUUUCCUUCCUUCCUUUCGUCUUUCUUUUUCUAUCUUCUCUGCACCUUCGUUUCGUGGUUGCUCCUCGUCCUCAUUCUCAUAGACAUUUUUUAUCUUUUUUAUCUUUUGCUUUCAUUCUUCUUUCUAAUUUCCUGCUUCCAUCCUUCCUCAUUGUCUGGGUCUCUUACUGGUGUCCGGUUCUCGUGUCUUUUUCUUAUGGUAGUCUUUCUCUUUUCACUAAGUCUGGAUCUCUUACUGGUGUCUGGUUAUCUGGUUUCUUUUUCUUAUACUAUUCCUUCUGUUUUCACUAAGUCUGGUUCUCUGCUUUCUUUUUCUUAUGGUAAUUAAUCUUUCUCUUUUUACUGUCUGAGUCUCUUACAGGUGUUUGGUUUCCUCUCUGGUCUCCUCCUCCCGCUCCUUACUUAGUCUCUGUCUUGCUUUCUCUGCUGGGAAUGAGGACUUUUAUUUUUCCUCCUCCCGCUUCUCGUCUUUACCUUCUCGUUCUUACAUUUUUCCUUCUCUCUCUCACUAACUCGCUCGUGGGAUGUGGAGGCGGUGGAGGAGGAGGGUUGCGCGGAGAGAGAGAGAGAGAGAGAGAGAGAGAGAGAGAGAGAGAGAGAGAGAGAGAGAGAGAGAGACUAAUAGGUAGAUAAUUACUCAGAGACAUGUAACCCAGAUGGACCAGAGCUUGCGUGUGUGUGUGUGUGAGAGAGAGAGAGAGAGAGAGAGAGAGAGAGAGAGAGAGAGAGAGAGAGAGAGAGAGAGAGAGAGAGAGAGAGAGAGAGAGAGAGAGAGAGAGACCCAGCAAUUUCUCUGUGGUCAUUACACCUGUCGGAGCCUACAGCCCCAAUUUUCCACACACACACACACACACACACACACACACACACACACACACACACACACACACACACACGCACACCAUUCACCCUGACCACUUAAUUCUUUUCUUCUUCCCAUUCUCUCCCUCUUUAUCUCCCCUUCUUUUUUUUUUUACCUCCAGUUAUUCCUCAUUUUCCUUCCUUUGAAUUGCUUACCAGAGAGAGAGAGAGAGAGAGAGAGAGAGAGAGAGAGAGAGAGAGAGAGAGAGAGAGAGGAUUCAUAGGUCCAUUAUAUAACCAAGGAGUAUUAUCGUCAGCAAGGUGUUAGAUAAUGAACACCUGUAAUAUCCCUUCCCCAGGUGUGAUAAUAUGUGCAGGUUAUCAGAUAAGAAAGAUCCUGUGAUGCCGUAAUGGGGACUUAACUUAAAGGUAAAAAAACAAAAAAAACAAAAAACGCAGAAUAUUAUAAGAGAAUGAGAAAAAAAGGUAAAAAAUAAA